GCGGACAAUCUUUCGACCAAUCAAAGUAUCCUUUUUAAAAAAGUACUCAAUUCGGCAUGAUAUCAUUUUUGGACAGACCUAGAGACACGUACUCCCGGACUCCUUUUCGGACGGAUGUUGCGUGCGCUUUUUUUCUUUUUGUAUGCAGCCACACGAGCGACGGUAGUUUCACUUUCAUAUUUUUUUUAAAAUCACAAGCAUAACUUAGAAAACUGAGUUACACAGCAUAACUUUUAAGAUUAAUUUAGUAGUUCUAAGUUAUACAACAUUACCUUUUUCUUUUUGCACAAAAUUUAUAUUAUUAAAACAGUUGCGAGAAUAGCAUUCUCUUUACGUUUCAUUGUUUUUUUUUCAGAAAUUAAUCAUUUGGGAACGUAGAAAAAAAGAUUUUAAAAAGGGUGGGGGAGUAAAAUAAAAAUAACUUUUACACCUUAUACUACACAACAACUUCCUUAUAGAUAAUGUGAAGCUACGUAACAAGUUACAU
rnacentral:lncRNA from 1 species